rnacentral:ncRNA from 1 species
CGGCGUGUAGUUGAUGAACAUAAACCCCCAGGACUGAUCGAUACAGUUAAAUAAUGGAUUUUAGCCGAGCAUAGGAAGCAUGAAGGAAGGCAUCGUGUCUGCCACAAACAUUUUGCCUGAAGCCAGUAUGUUGACGCG